rnacentral:lncRNA from 1 species
UAAAACCAAAAACACCUACUUUGUGCAACAUGGCCUUUUUCAAUGGGAAAAAUUAUUAGCACAAACAUAGUUUAGAUGUUACAUGUUACAUAAGACUUGAGCUUGAGCAACUAUCCUGCUAUAGGUAUAUAAAUUUCCUAAUUUUAAUCACAACAGCAGACAAGAACCUUCCUAAAGGGCAAACUCCCUUAUGCUGUGUUGUCCUUUCAUCUAUUUCAAAAUUUAACUUGUGCACAUGGGCACUGAAACAUUUUAUCAAUGCACAAUAAAAUAUUAAACACACACAAUAGUCUAGUUGGGAAUCCAAAUGCUUGACUUUCACACAUCAACAUACACCCAAAUCAUAGAACGGUUGUUCUGUCCGGAAAUGGAAAGAACAUCAACAAGUGACAUGCUCCAUCCACCCUUUGGACUGCUCUUCUCCUCAUGCCUCCCCUUCAAUCACUCACCAUAUUAAUAACACCUAAAUACGAAAACCACUUAUGAAUUAUACUGGCAUGCAAAACAUUGUAUACCGUGAAGCAUAGCAAUGCCACUAAGUAAGAUGGGAAUAGUGAUAUAAUUAGUUCAGGUUGCAGCCAUCGAAAGCAUACCGAUAACACGAAGAUAAACUAACAAUAAAUAUAUCAAUGCAUGUUCAUGACUGAAUUCACUCUAUUUCAGCAAGAAGUAAGAAAAUGUAACCACCUUAAGUAAAAAAUUAGAAUGAGCAAAAGCAUUAAUAUCCAUAAUACACACAUGUACUUUGAAGGUGAUUGUGUCUCAUGUAGCACCAAGGCCCGAACCACUAUGAUACUUACCAAAUUUCUUGAGCAUCUAAAUUUAAAGUAGCAAAGAAGAAAAUAAAAAAUUCUAAGUGAGAACAAUAGUAAUGCUUGACAAACAGUACCGUAUAUGGAAGUUGAUACACAAGAAAAGCUAGAAAACAAUAGAUCAAAUUGAAAAAUAAUGAUGCUAAUAAAAAAUUCAUGGACUUUUAUCAGCACAACCUGUUCCCCUAGCAACCACACGGAGUCAUCAAGCUGCAUUGGUUAAGGUGGGCCACAUGGUCCAAGCUUAGAAUUAUGAACCUGAGGGCAGCCUAUGGCUAGCAGAACAACAACAGUUGAUGCAAGGCCAUCAAUUUUGAUUGUUAAACUGGUUAGUUCAACACAAAAAAUUAGUAAUAUGAUGUUAAUCCAUGACAAAGUGAGGAGAAUAAAAUAGGCAAGGUGAUAACACGAUGCAAGGAUCGGACGACCGAACUGGCACAAUUGACCGAAAUGAGCAAGAUCGAACGGCCAACAAAGAUCCAAAUCAGGGGAGAGCUGUUAGGUAUAAAAUUGCUUUCCCUGGCUCAUAUAAAAUUAGAUACCCAGGUUGUUCACCAGCUCGUCGAAACAAUGGCCUAAAAUUAAAAGCUCUUUCUUAUGAGCCUGGACAAUUGUUUCUUCUCUCAGCCACUAAAAAUGGUUUAGAACAUGAUGUUGACAUGCUGCAACAUUACAUUGUUUUCCCAGUGUGCCAAGAUUGUCUAGCCCAUGCAUGCUAGUUAGCCCGACAAAGUAAAUUUUUGUUUCGGUACCAAACACCUAUCCUUACCCAGCGAAGACCAGUAGUUUGUUUGCUUUGGAAAUAAAUACGCCCUAAAUCAUCAUGCAUAAACUGGUUGAGUUAUGGAUGUGCCGAAUGAAAGGUUUAGCUAAAUACAUUACUAUAACACAGUAGUUCUGAAAUUAUUACAUGGAGUAAGCAUGCUAACCUCUCCAUCCUACAUUCCAGUAUUUCUUCGACAUUCAGACUAAGCUCCUGUCAAUUUCAGGCAGGCAAGAUAGUACUUCUUCUCGUGUUUCAACCUACAAAAAUGAUUGGAUGCACCCUAAGUGCAUACAACAUGAUGUCUGAACACAGUUUUAUUCAAAGCAUAUGAACAAAAUAUUAAUUGGACUAAUUGCUGCAAUCAUCUUCUGAACCUAAUCAAGGGAAACAACAUAGAGCAAAAAUCUUCAAAUAAUCACAUGGCCAAAGAGAAGCUAUCUAUGAAUCAAGCUUUCGGUCAAGAUGCACACCAAUAAAAAGCAUUAGUUUUAUAAGGUACAAACAACUGUACCUUGAAGCACAAUCAACAUGCUGGACCUAGCUCCUAAUUCCAUUUAGGAAUCAUCAUCUUCAUAAAGUAAUAAGUAAACUUGGUCAUCCAUGCACCGACUAUAGCCUGCUUGCUAAUUUCCACCUAUGUCACAAAUAAGACAAUGUCAUGUUCAAACUGAAGGUGAAAGCAGUAUACAUUCAGUUUCUAAUUUAUAUUAGUAAUAAAAAUCUCUAUAAAGAGGCAGACCAACCGCUGGAAAUAAACUGGCAUGGAACUAAAUCAGUGUCCACAAAACCAUAGAUAUGCAUGCUCAUCAAGAAUGUCAUACAUUUUACCAGAAUGGAAGCUUAGUUGGUGCUGGUGCUCUACCUCAAGAACCUCUAGCCCACACAACAGAAAUCCGUCCAUCUUGGCCAUGAAUUCACCUAAACAGGAAACAAAAUAUUUUUUUUCCUCAGACACAGUACACUGAAGAAACAAAAUUAUGCCAGCUGAACCGAUAAGCUCUUAUGACUGAACAAGCCCAUCUGCAAACAUCAUCGUUCUAGGCAAGAAAAUAAUUGAACAAAGCCCAUAUGCAAUUAUGACAUCAGUCCCAGUUUGUCACUUUAACUCUUAAGGCUUUAGGUCUCUUGACAUAUCGAUAUGAUGUAUCCAUAUAUAUAAUCGUAGCAUUACACUAUAGGCAGAUUAAAAGAUAGUUUAGACGUAUUUUCCAGAUUUUUCUCUAGGAUGAACACAUGAGCUUGAAAGGAGGGCCAAUACCGGGUCUACCAAGCAAUAGACCUGUGCACCAUCAACAAUGGCAUAAUUCAGCCCUGCAGAUGAUCACUAAGAUAUGCAAAAAAAGAUAGAAAAAUGAAUAGAAAGCUUGGACUUGAAAUAUAGAAGAUUACCCAGUACCCACUUGGUCUACUGAUGGGAAAUACACAUAAGCAUCAACUAAAUGCAAUCACAGUCAAUUAUGAUUUCUUCAAUCUAUUUAGGGUGUUUUUUCACGUACUGUGCAAGUAGCAAGGGGUUGUUCUUCAGUAAACAACAUCUCAUUAGGUUCAGAUGACACACAUUGACACUAUAUUGCUAAUUCAAUUUAAGUUAAGUUGUGAUCCCAAUAUUCCUCAACGUGGCAUCCAGUAUCAGCACGACAGUAAGGCGAAGGCAUGACUUCGGAACCUAAUAGCAACGCAGCAAAAAUAAAAUGGCAGUAAGGCAAAGACAUGUAAAGAUGCAAAGGUUACCCGAACUAACUGGACAUGUCAAAAUUGACCUGCUGAUUUUUUUUCUCCAGCUUUUCCUCCGACCCCCGCGUCGCCUCCAGGCGGCUCGGGGGAACCCAAGCCGCCGGCCGCCCGGCGCCGCCCCUCACCUCUCCUCCCCCCUCGCCGCCGCCGGAAGAUGCGGCCGGGCUAAUCCCGCGCCGCGGACGGCGGCGGCGGGGCGUUCCCUGCGCAUCGGCGCUUUUCUCUGGUGGUGGGCGGGCGCACCUUCCUCUUGCUCGGCGGCCCGGCGACUGCGGCGGCCCGGGGGCCCCGUCCUUCUCCGGUGGGUGGCGUCUCCGGGGUCUUCCCUUGGUGCAGCCGCGGCGGCUCCCCGCGUGCAGCGGGACGGCGGCCCUCUGCGCGAAUCUCGCGCCCGAUCCGGCCGCCUGUUUGAGGAGGGGUGGCGGCCCUCCUCCCCCCUGCUUGUGGGCGCUCGCCUGCGUGGUGCUUGGGUGGAGUGCAGUCGCCUCCUAUGGCUGCCCGGAGGUGGAAGAUUGCUGGUCGGCUCGGGCGGCUGCCGGAUCUGGCAGGGCUCGGGCGGAUCUGGGGUUGGCUUCUGGCUUGUCUGCGGGUGCAGGCGGCGAGGGGUUCGUGUGGCGUGAGGCUGCUUGGUGGUCCGACCGGGCUCGGACUCUGGUGGGAUGUGUGGCAGCGCCAAGCGAAAGCUCCGCCUCAGGCUGUUGGCCGGGGCCGGCGACGGUGACGCCCUCGGGUGCCAUGCUCUUCUUAAAGACGUCGUCGAGGUGCGUUGUACGCCCUGCUCGUCUCCGGUCGGAGGGACCAGUGGUGGUUGCAUGGUGGUGGUGCUGAAGUUUGGCUGUCGUUCGUCUCCGCGAGGUGUGGUUGGCGACAGCAGUUCAUUGCGCCUCUUCAGUAUCUUGCAUCGACUUCGGCGUGGUUCAGGCCGUCUUGCUGUAGGGAUGUGCUCAAACUCCGGGUGAGAACCUUGCAUCGACUAUGUCGAUGUCGGCGGCAGCGACGUCUAUGGACGUCGUUCCCCUCGCAGGAGGUGCCGCUGUGGAGCUCCAGCACCUACGGUUCUUUGCUUUGUGGUCUCCGGGUGAAAACCUAGGAUCGGGCUUGCCGGAUCGGAUGAUGGUGUUGUGUCUUUGACAACACUACCUCCUUGGAGGCAUCAUCUUGGAGGCCCAAACGACGGCUCCUGCUGCUGCGCGUGGUUGAGGGUGGGGUGUUUGGUGGUGGUGGUGUGGCCAGCUUGGGGCCGACGGUGGUGGUUCUUCUUCAUGUGUUUCUCUUCGGCUGUCCUUCGCGUGGUCUCCGUCCUGUUGCUGUGCAUGCUCAAGACCCUCCCAUGGUUGCCGAUGUGCUGUUGCGAGCUUCGGGCUCUUGGUGUUCUCUUGGUUCACCUUUGCUAAAUGACGAUGCAAUGAUGCCUCCCCGACCCGCUAAUCGUUUCGACUGCCCGUGGCGGAUCUCCCAGUCAAGGUUCGUGUUAGUUUGGCACUCGUUGAUUAUGGUUGAUCCUCUGUUGUGCCGUGGGGCUCGGUACGCACGCCGGUGCGGUGCGUUAGGUUGUUUGCAGAGUUUUGGUAUUGUGAUCCCUCGACAGCACCCUACAUCUACUUGUCUCUCGUGGUGUUGUUCUUUCUGCUUGCUAGCUAGGUCAUGCCUUCUCCUAGGUGGCAAUUUCUUCUCAUCUUCUGUAACCUUGUUAACUGUACGGUUUUCGGCCCGGUUUCCCUUAUAAACGGGGUCAAGUUGUUUAGGUUUUCAAUCCGAUUUUCCUUAUAAACUGGAUCAGCCAAAAGCUUAAGGGGUGACUCUUGGCUUUGGCAGCUUUUUGAGCAAUAUAUUCAGGUGGGGAUCCUCUCCCCCCCGGUGACCGUUCAAAAAAAACAAAAUUGACCUGCUCAUCUUCAAGUUCUUCCAGCACUGCUACUUCCCGUUGAAGGAGCUCUCUACAUCAGCCACAGGCCUGCUCAUCGUCAUGAUGCUCACCUCAGCCUGCAAUCCCAUAAAAUUUAAUCUAAGCUCGAUGAGUACUUUAUCAGUAAC